rnacentral:rRNA from 1 species
GCACAAGCGGUGGAGCAUGUGGUUUAAUUCGACGCAACGCGAGGAACCUUACCAGAUCUUGACAUCCUGCGAAGGCCUGCGAGAGCAGGCUGUGCCUCCGGGAACGCAGAGACAGGUGGUGCAUGGCUGUCGACAGCUCGUGUCGUGAGAUGUUGGGUUAAGCCCCGCAACGAGCGCAACCCCUAUUGCUAGUUGCCAUCAUUAAGUUGGGAACUCUAGCAAGACUGCCUGCGAAGAGCAGGAGGAAGGUGGGGAUGACGUCAAGUCAUCAUGCCCCUUAUGAUCUGGGCUACACACGUGCUACAAUGGUCGGUACAAAGAGCUGCAAAGCGGUAACGCUAAGCCAAUCUUUAAAGCCGAUCCAAGUUCGGAUUGAAGUCUGCAACUCGACUUCAUGAGGCUGGAAUCGCUAGUAAUCGCAGAUCAGCAAUGCUGCGGUGAAUACGUCCCGGGC